rnacentral:lncRNA from 1 species
ACUAAAGGAUUGAAGCUUGGGUCAAGUACUAGAAUGGGCUUCUCAAAAAGGACUUCAAAUAAAAAUGGGCCAAAAAGGUCAAAAGAAGUGGAUGAAGAAAUUAAAUGUUCUCACUGUGGAAAUACCAAGCAUACACGUGAGAAUUGUUUAAAACUAAAUGGUUAUCCUGAUUAGUGACAUGACUUGUAAUAAAAUAAGAACAAGGAUGGGAUAGGC